rnacentral:rRNA from 1 species
CCAGCAGCCGCGGUAAUACGGAGGAUGCAAGCGUUAUCCGGAAUUAUUGGGCGUAAAGCGUCCGUAGGUGGUUUAUCAAGUCUGCUGUCAAAGCGUGCGGCUUAACCGCAUAAGGGCAGUGGAAACUGAUGAACUAGAGUGCGAUAGGGGUAACAGGAAUUCCCAGUGUAGCGGUGAAAUGCGUAGAUAUUGGGAAGAACACCAGCGGCGAAAGCGUGUUACUGGGUCUGCACUGACACUGAGGGACGAAAGCUAGGGGAGCGAAAGGGAUUAGAUACCCCUGUAGUCCUAGCCGUAAACGAUGACAACUAGGCGUGGUUCGUAUCGACCCGAGCCGUGCCGUAGCCAACGCGUUAAGUUGUCCGCCUGGGGAGUACGCACGCAAGUGUGAAACUCAAAGGAAUUGACGGGGGCCCGCACAAGCGGUGGAGUAUGUGGUUUAAUUCGAUGCAACGCGAAGAACCUUACCAAGGCUUGACAUCCUCGGAACCCUGAUGAAAGUUAGGGGUGCCUUCGGGAGCCGAGAGACAGGUGGUGCAUGGCUGUCGUCAGCUCGUGUCGUGAGAUGUUGGGUUAAG